GCAAAGUUUAUUAUAAAAUAUUUCAGCUUCUGCAUUUUUUUAAUAACAAAAAGAGAAUAAGUGAAUCUAUAACACUUGUUGCUAUGGCAACUCACAUAUUUCUAUAUUGAGAAAGAACAUGGAAAUUUCUAAAUGCAUUUUUAUCCUUAUGACAUAUGUCUCUGUAUAGACAAGACCAUAUACUUUGGGUGACUUUAAGUCCAGGAGACUAGGAGAUGCCUUCUUUUAGAUAUUUCAUAUUAACUUUCCUGCAGAGACAGAUGCCAUCAGACCUGGGUCUUGACAACAGAAACCACAAUGUCUACACAGGUAAAUGAGAAAUUCAAAUGAUCUGAAAAACAAAUUAAAAGUGAGAACCAAUGGACUAGAAUUUAAAAGAUAUGAGAAUUAUUUCUACCUCUGCUAUUUAUUCAUUUGCAGUACAACUUGGGCAAUGCCCUCACCUCGUGCUAUGAUCUGAAUAUUUGUGUCUCUCCAAAACUCAUGUUGAAAGCUCAUCCCCAUUGUUGACAUAGUAAGACAUGGUGACUUUAGGGGAUGAUUUGGGCAUGAGGCCUCCACCCUCAUGAAUGAGAUUGCCUUUAAAAAAGUGACUUAAAGACGGUUCCUGCCUCUUCCCCGACAGGAGGAGGCAGCAAGAAGGCACCAUUUAGAAGCAGACGACAGCCCUCACCAGACACUGAAUCUGCUGAUGCCUUAACAUUGCACUUCACAGGCUCCAGAACUAUAAAUAAUAAAUUUAUGGUGCAUAUAAA